rnacentral:rRNA from 1 species
UAGGGAAUCUUCGGCAAUGGGGGGAACCCUGACCGAGCAACGCCGCGUGAGUGAAGAAGGUUUUCGGAUCGUAAAGCUCUGUUGUUAAGGAAGAACGAGUGUGAGAAUGGAAAGUUCAUACUGUGACGGUACUUAACCAGAAAGGGACGGCUAACUACGUGCCAGCAGCCGCGGUAAUACGUAGGUCCCGAGCGUUGUCCGGAUUUAUUGGGCGUAAAGCGAGCGCAGGCGGUUAGAUAAGUCUGAAGUUAAAGGCAGUGGCUCAACCAUUGUAGGCUUUGGAAACUGUUUAACUUGAGUGCAGAAGGGGAGAGUGGAAUUCCAUGUGUAACGGUGAAAUGCGUAGAUAUAUGGAGGAACACCGGUGGCGAAAGCGGCUCUCCGGUCUGUAACUGACGCUGAGGCUCGAAAGCGUGGGGAGCGAACAGG